AGUGAAGCGGGAUGAGCUCAAAUUUAAAAUCUGGCCGGUUUACUGGUCCGAAUUGUAGUUUAAAGAAGCGUUUUCGGUGGCAGCCUGGGUAUAAAUCCUUUGGAAUAGGGUAUCAUAGAGGGUGAGAAUCCCGUCUUUGACUCAGUGCAUGCUACUAUGUGAUACGUUUUCAAAGAGUCGAGUUGUUUGGGAAUGCAGCUCAAAAUGGGUGGUAAAUCUCAUCUAAGGCUAAAUAUUGGCGAGAGACCGAUAGCGAACAAGUACCGUGAGGGAAAGAUGAAAAGAACUUUGAAAAGAGAGUUAAACAGUGCGUGAAAUUGUUGAAAGGGAAACGUUUGACACCAGUCAUGCGGGCGGAAAAUCAGUCUUUUGUUGUGGGGAAGCACGUGGGUUCAGACCGUAAGGCUGGCCUAUAUGUUCUCUCUGCUGCAAGUGAUGCACUUUUUCGUCUGCAGGCCAACAUCAGUUUCUUCUGCUGGACAAAACUCUAAGAGAAUGUAGCAGCUUAGGCUGUGUUAUAGCUCUGGAGCGAUACAGUGGAGGGGACUGAGGUUUUCGCAGCGUGUGCUCUCGGGCAAGGCGGAUUGGGUGCUAUGGGAUCGUUCGACGUACAAUGCAUGCAUUUUGCGCCGUGUCCUUUUCAUACUCGCUCAACUCUGCUCUUCCACGCUUAGGAUGUUGGCAUAAUGGUUUUAAACGACC
rnacentral:rRNA from 1 species